GCCGGCAGCUAGCUCUCUGCAACUCUCACAUUGUCGCCCACUGAAGCUAAGCAGGGCUGCGCCCGGUCAGUACCUGGAUGGGAGACCACUUGGGAAAGCUAGGUUGCUGCCGGAA
rnacentral:rRNA from 1 species